rnacentral:rRNA from 1 species
CGUAGGGCGCAAGCGUUGUCCGGAAUUAUUGGGCGUAAAGAGCUCGUAGGCGGCUUGUCACGUCGGUUGUGAAAGCCCCGGGGCUUAAACCCCGGGUCUGCAGUCGAUACGGGCAGGCUAGAGUUCGGUAGGGGAGAUCGGAAUUCCUGGUGUAGCGGUGAAAUGCGCAGAUAUCAGGAGGAACACCGGUGGCGAAGGCGGAUCUCUGGGCCGAUACUGACGCUGAGGAGCGAAAGCGUGGGGAGCGAACAGGAUU